GUUGACAUCGUACGAAAGUGUGUCGUCUGUGAGCAUGUUUCCUAAGGUACAUUUCAUCUUCUUCCCGUACAAAUGAGUGCGGUUGGCAGCUCCUGUUGGGGUUCUUCACGUGCUGCAGAAACUGGCGCUGCCUACUAGAUUCGUACCUAAGGAUUCUGCAUACUAAGUCCAAUUCUGUGCUGGCUGUGCUACCAAGCAAGCUUGUGAUGUCCGAAAGCAAAACAUGGAGCUGUAAUCAUAACAGUGUGUCAAACAGACAUGGCAGUGGAAUCACUAGCUGCAGAGAUUCUGAAGGGCUUUGGGUUCCAGGCUGAACUCAGAGCCACAGAACAGAGUUUCACCUGGUAUUUAAUGUGUGUGUGUGUGUGUGUGUGUGUGUGUG